UACGAAGGGGGCUAGCGUUGUUCGGAAUUACUGGGCGUAAAGCGCGCGCAGGCGGUUCUUCAAGUCAGAGGUGAAAGCCCAGAGCUCAACUCUGGAAUGGCCUUUGAGACUAGAGAACUAGGGUACGGGAGAGGUGAGUGGAAUUCCUAGUGUAGCGGUGAAAUGCGCAGAUAUUAGGAAGAACACCGGUGGCGAAGGCGGCUCUCUGGAACGGUACUGACGCUGAGACGCGAAAGCGUGGGGAGCGAACAGG
rnacentral:rRNA from 1 species